rnacentral:lncRNA from 1 species
CGCCCCCAUCGUGUCUACCUGCAUUCUUUGUAAUACAAAUAAAGCUGCCUGUGCUCCGACUACCGCGAAACGAAAUCCGCUGCGUUGUUUUCCCGUCUGCGGUUCGCGCAAACAAACCCACUAGUGCUCGUCCUCGCUUCGACUCGGCUGAUGACGAUACGCGUGUAUAAUUUGGUUUGCACAAAGCGCGCGUGCAUAAUUUAUAGCCAAACGGUGUGCAUAUUAGCUGUUUCGUAAAGUGAUCCGAAAAAAAAAUUGGCAUUUGGACAAUGUGUGGUUUUAAACACAAGGAGAUUGGAAUAUAGGUAGUGCUGUCUGAAUCAAUAAAGCAGCCGCGAAUCGAGCAGUUCGCCUUAUGCAGAUUGUUUCGUCAGCAAGGAGGCCUCUGUUCAUCGACCACGGAUCGAUUAUCGAUUAUCAAGCAGUGGAUUAUUUACCGAGCAAGGAUGGAAGGACAGAAAGGAAGAAAAGCAGGAAAUGGAGAGGGAGGAAGAAAGGGCGAAAAAGACAAAUGGAAAGGAAAGCACGGAAGAAAGGGAACG